rnacentral:tRNA from 1 species
GCCGGAGUGGUGGAAUUGGCAGACACGCAGGAUUUAGGUUCCUGUGCUCCAGGGCGUGGGGGUUCGAGUCCCCCCUUCGGCACCG